rnacentral:rRNA from 1 species
AUGGGAUCUGGAUCAGGAGCCGUGCUGGUGCUUGUGGCAGCAUGUCUAGCGAUUGCCCCGCCCUGCGCUCUGGCUUCUUCUCGCAAGUUUGGUCUGGAUAUUGCGCAACCAAAAUUGCUGAACUCCACAAAAGGUUCAUUUACUCCAAGCUCACAUGUUGAUUUUGACACUUCAAAAUCAAAGUGACUCUCGUGGCACUCCUUGGUCUUCUUGUAUGAAGGUUUUCUCUCUCACAUGGAGUGUGACCACUCAGUCCUUGCAUUCAGGUUAUUUAUAAAAAAGGGCUUGCAUCAUCCACGUGGUAAGAUAGGGUCAUACCAUAACAAUAUUGAUGACAUAGUUGUUUCGGAGAUUGAAGAUAGGAUAUCAUUAUGGAGUUUUAUUCCAAAAGAGCAUGGGGAGAGCAUGCAGAUUUUGAAGUAUGGAGCAAACAAAAGUGACCCUAAAAAUCAAGAAACUCAAUUGAGCAGUGGUGCCAAUAGGCUUGUGACCAUUUUGAUGUACCUUUCUGAUAUCAAGCAAGGUGGUGAAACUGUUUUCCCGAGAUCCGAGCUGAAGGAUACUCAAGCCAAGGAAGGGACACCUUCCGAUUGUGCUGGUUACGCAGUUAAACCUGUCAAGGGCAACGCGAUUCUGCUGUUCAAUUCAAGGCCUGACGGAAUCGCCGACAAGGACAGCCAGUAUGAGGCCUGUUCUGUCCUUGAAGGGGAGAAAUGGCUCGCCAUAAAACAUAUGCAUGCCAGCAAGAUUGAUAAAUCAAAACGUUCGCCGGCAUCCGAGGAUGAUUUGCACCAUGAAGAUGGUAACUGUGUCAGUUGGGCCGCUGCCGGCGAAUGCAACAAGAAUCCAGUGUUUAUGAUUGGAAGUCCAGACUACUAUGGCACUGGCAGGAAGAGCUGCCAUGCGUGCUAG